rnacentral:rRNA from 1 species
UACGUAGGGUCCGAGCGUUUGUCCGGAAUUAUUGGGCGUAAAGAGCUCGUAGGCGGUCUGUCGCGUCGGCUGUGAAAACACGGGGCUCAACUCCGUGCCUGCAGUCGAUACGGGCAGACUAGAGUUCGGUAGGGGAGACUGGAAUUCCUGGUGUAGCGGUGAAAUGCGCAGAUAUCAGGAGGAACACCGGUGGCGAAGGCGGGUCUCUGGGCCGAAACUGACGCUGAGGAGCGAAAGCGUGGGGAGCGAACAGG